rnacentral:rRNA from 1 species
CACGCAGGCGGUGACUUAAGUGAGGUGUGAAAGCCCCGGGCUUAACCUGGGAAUUGCAUUUCAUACUGGGUCGCUAGAGUACUUUAGGGAGGGGUAGAAUUCCACGUGUAGCGGUGAAAUGCGUAGAGAUGUGGAGGAAUACCGAAGGCGAAGGCAGCCCCUUGGGAAUGUACUGACGCUCAUGUGCGAAAGCGUGGGAGCAGACA